GUUAGGGGGGCCUUGAUUCUACUUAAAUGGCAACGGGAGGUUGUUGGGCUGCCCUUAUAUAAGGGAGGUCCAUGGUCACUUUGUAUACAACGGGCGCAUAAGAGCCCUAUGAUCCGGCAUGCACUCCUUGGAAGCUUGGAGUACUGGGCUCACCUGUACCCGGGCUCAUGAUAUCUUUCCCUUGUUUGGUAAUCACCAGGCUGGCGUAUCCUGUCCAGGAGUUCAGAUUUUAUUCCAUUUAUGGCCUGAAAGUUUUGGUAAUGUUAAAGUGGUCCUUAUCUUUUGUAAAUAUGGUAAGUAAACCCCUACUCUCUUCCAUUUAAACCACAUUCCCCCCUGCAACCUCACCUCACCUCGACAACAGCCCUCUCUCUUUCUCUCUAUCUCAGCUCUGCAUAGCUGCUGCUUGACGAGCAUGUUGAUCCGUUUUUGACCAACUAACUGAUCUUUGAUCCCUCCAGACUGUCCAUCUCUUGAUACUUGAUGAUCUUCUCUUUCAUUGGGGUGGGAUGAUUCCUGAUCCGGUCAGGGUGCCUUCAGGGAGGAAGGAUGCUGACCAUGAUGUUCAAUUGAAUUAUUCCGGGCAAAGUAACCGGUCGAUAUGUGUGUCAACGGCAACUGGACCGCCAUCCAGUAUCAUCUCGUGCCGCCACCUUGAUUGAUCUAGCGGUAUUAUGAUAUAUGAGGAGGAACUCGAUAUAAAGACCCUCAUUGAAGCGAUCAUAUUUUGGCCACAUAGGCAGAGGGAAUAAACAUGAACUAGCAUGCUAUAUACGUCGUUGGCCAAAUCCAACAGGGCAGGUUAUUUGACGUGAGAGUUGUAGAACUAUGGGUAGCGGCUACCCUGCUAGUGUAAACUAGUCCUCAUUAUCUAUAUUUUGAGUUUGUAAGACUAUGAUAAUGAUGGAACAAUCCAUUCAUACAUGGGUGACUGAUGGAAGAAAAAGAGAGAAAACAUUACAAAUUGGUUAAUUAAUGGAGAAGGAAGCAUAUGAAUUUGGGGGUUUAGUCGUUAUCCAAAUGCGAUGCUAUCUCUCAUUUGCUUCCAUUAAUCACUCACAUUUGAAUGAAAUCACCUGUUUUCUUUAGUCAUUUCUUAGAAAAACAUCGUCUAGUUUCGAUUGUUCUCUCGUAUGACUCGACCCUCU